CCUACGGGAGGCAGCAGUGGGGAAUAUUGCACAAUGGGCGCAAGCCUGAUGCAGCAACGCCGCGUGAGUGAUGAAGGCCUUCUGGUCGUAAAGCUCUGUCCUCAAGGAAGAUAAUGACGGUACGUGCGGAGGAAGCCCCGGCUAACUACGUGCCAGCAGCCGCGGUCAUACGUGGGGGGCUAGCGUUAUCCUGAUUUACUGGGCGAAAAGGUUGAGUAGGUGGAUUCUUAAGUCAGAGGUAAAAGGCUAGGGCUAAACCGUGGUGAGCCUUUGAAACUGGGGAGCUUGAGUGCAGGAGAGGUAAGCGGAAUUCCUGGUGUAGCGGUGAAAUGCGUAGAUAUUAGGAAGAACACCAGUUGCGAAGGCGGCUUACUGGACUGUAACUGACGCUGAGGCACGAAAGCGUGGGGAGCAAACAGGAUUAGAUACCCUUGUAGUC
rnacentral:rRNA from 1 species